AUUUUUGUGAAUGAGAGUUGGCAU
rnacentral:piRNA from 1 species